rnacentral:rRNA from 1 species
AUGGCUCAGGACGAACGCUGGCGGCGUGCUUAACACAUGCAAGUCGAACGGGAGUAUUGAAGAAGCUUGCUUUAGAGAUACUUUAGUGGCGGACGGGUGAGUAACGCGUGAGGAGCUGUCCUAUGCAGGGGGACAACAGCUGGAAACGGCUGCUAAUACCCCAUAAGCCGAGAGGUAAAAGGAUCAAUCCGGCAGAGGAGGUACUCGCGUCCUAUCAGCUAGUAGGUGAGGUAACGGCUCACCUAGGCGAAGACGGGUAGCCGGCCUGAGAGGGCGAACGGCCACACUGGAACUGAGAUACGGUCCAGACUCCUACGGGAGGCAGCAGUGGGGAAUAUUGGGCAAUGGGGGAAAAACCCCCUGACCCAGCGACGCCGCGUGGGUGAAGAAAUCCUUCGGGAUGUAAAGCCCUGUUGUAUGGGAAGAGCGGAAGACGGUACCAUACGAGGAAGCCCCGGCAAACUACGUGCCAGCCGCUGC